rnacentral:other from 1 species
GAUUCUCUGGGAUGCGCGACCGACGUUAAGGAAACCCUCGUCGACACUGUUUUUUUUUAACCUCGCGUAAAAUCGUGGUGAGCAGGACCGCCCCGUAGCGGGAAGCCUGAAGCGAUUUUUAGAGGCCAGUCCUUCGGUUGAAGGGCGAGAUGUUCCAGCACUCCGUCGGCAUCCUGGAGACCAG